AUCUAUUAGUCUUGACCAAAUCAUGUGCCAGCCGUCGCGGUAAGACAUGGAAGACGAGCGCUAUUCAUCUUUAACAGGUUUAAAGGGUACUUAGACAGUUAAUUAAGCCUACAUAAGGGACUGACUAACUAGAGUUUGAUAGAAAAAGGCUAGAACGGUAUGUGGAGAGAUAAAAUAUGUUAAUACAUGCUAAAAUCUGACAACGGCGAAGGCAACCUUUUAUGUAAAAACUGACGUUAAAGGACGAAGGCUAUAAAUAAAGAAUAGGAUUAGAUACCCUAGUAUUCGUAGCAGUAAAUGAUGAGUGUCAUAGGUAAGUAAUAUAGCUUACGUAUAAAUGAAAGUGUAAACAUUCCACCUUAAGAGUAACAUGGCAACAUAGGAACUGAAAUCAUUAGACCGUUUCUGAAACCAGUAGUGAAGUAUGUUAGUUAAAUUGAUGAUCCACAAAGAACCUUACCACAAUUUGAAUGUAAAUUCACAGGAGUUGCACGGCUGUCUUCAGUUGAUAUCGUGAGAUUUUGGUUAGCUCCAUUUAAUCAA
rnacentral:rRNA from 1 species